rnacentral:lncRNA from 1 species
UUUUAGGUAUAGCAGAUUGGAUGUAAAAGAUCAGUGGUUUAUAUUGAGAAUUUUUUGAUGAAACCAAAGGGAAAUCCACUGUUAGGAAGUGUCAAAGCUAUCAUAAAAAUUUCGUAGAGAUUUGGAUAGAAACAAUGUAGUAUCAAGAUCAAACAAACAGUGCUAUGCGGCUGAAAUUUUACAGUGCAGAUUUUCAAGUAUAGCAGAUUUGACGUAAAAGAUCAAUGGUUUAUAUUGAGAAUUUUUUGAAAAAACCAAAGGGAAAUCUGCUGUUAGGAAGUGUCAAAGAUGUC